AGCGAACGCCGGCGGCGUGCUCAACACAUGCAAGUCGAGCGAAGGUGUUUCAAGGGUAACCUUGAGAUACACUUAGCGGCGGACGGGUGAGUAAUACGUGGAUAACUUACCUCUAGGCCUGGGAUAACCCCGGGAAACUGGGGCUAAUACCUGAUAAGACCACAUUGUCUACGGACAAAGGGGUAAAAGGUGGCUGUGCAAACAGCUAUCGCCAAAAGAUAGGUUCACGUCCCAUCAGGCAGUUGGUGAGGUAAUGGCUCACCAAACCAAAGACGGGUAGCCGGCCUUGGCGGGUGAACGGCCACACGGGGACUGAGACACGGCCCCGACUCCUACGGGAGGGCAGCAGUGGGGAAGUAUUGGGCAAUGGGCGGCAAGCCUGACCCAGCGACGUCGCGUU
rnacentral:rRNA from 1 species